rnacentral:tRNA from 1 species
GAUGGCUCAGUGGCAGAGGAUCGGGUUUGAAUGCAGAAGAUCCCUGGGUUCAAUUCCCAGCAUCUCCA